rnacentral:rRNA from 1 species
UCGAGAAUAUUGGGCAAUGGGCGAAAGCCUGACCCAGCGACGCCGCGUGCAUGAAGAAGGCCUUCGGGUCGUAAAGUGCUUUUUUUCGGGACGAAUCAAUGACGGUACCGAAAGAAUAAGAGGUUGCUAACUCUGUGCCAGCAGCAGCGGUAAUACAGAGACCUCAAGCGUUAUCCGGAUUUACUGGGCGUAAAGGGUCCGCAGGUGGUUUGGGAAGUCAUUUGUUAAAUUCCAGAGCUUAACUCUGGAGCCGCAGAUGAUACUCUCAGACUAGAGGCUGGGAGAGGUAUACGGAACUACUAGUGUAGCGGUAAAAUGCGUUAAUAUUAGUAGGAACACCAAAGGCGAAGGCAGUAUACUGGAACAGUCCUGACACUCAGGGACGAAAGCGUGGGGAGCG